CCUACGGGGGGCAGCAGUGGGGAAUAUUGCGCAAUGGGCGAAAGCCUGACGCAGCGACGCCGCGUGAGGGAUGAAGGUCUUCGGAUCGGAAACCUCUGUCAGCAGGGAAGAACGGUCACUGUGCUAAUCAGCAGUGAAUUGACGGUACCUGCAAAGGACGCACCGGCUAACUCCGUGCCAGCAGCCGCGGUAAUACGGAGGGUGCGAGCGUUAAUCGGAAUUACUGGGCGUAAAGCGUUCGUAGGCGGUAUGUCAAGUCAAGGGUGAAAUCCCCGCGCUCAACGUGGGCACUGCCUUUGAAACUGGCAAACUAGAGUGUGUGAGCGGAAAGUGGAAUUUCAGGUGUAGGAGUGAAAUGCGUAGAUAUCUGGAGGAACAUCAGUGGCGAAGGCGACUAUCUGGCACAUAACUGACGCUGAGGAGCGAAAGCGUGGGUAGCAAACAGGAUUAGAUACCCCAGUAGUC
rnacentral:rRNA from 1 species